rnacentral:tRNA from 1 species
AGUCCCGUGGUGUAAAACAUUUCGGAUUGCAAAUCCGAAGAAGCAGGUUAAUGGCCUGCCGGGGCUU